AAGUUACGGCUUGGCGGCAGGCUAACACAUGCAAGUCGAGCGGUAGAGAGAAGCUUGCUUCUCUUGAGAGCGGCGGACGGGUGAGUAAUGCCUAGGAAUCUGCCUGGUAGUGGGGGAUAACGUUCGGAAACGAACGCUAAUACCGCAUACGUCCUACGGGAGAAAGCAGGGGACCUUCGGGCCUUGCGCUAUCAGAUGAGCCUAGGUCGGAUUAGCUAGUUGGUGAGGUAAUGGCUCACCAAGGCGACGAUCCGUAACUGGUCUGAGAGGAUGAUCAGUCACACUGGAACUGAGACACGGUCCAGACUCCUACGGGAGGCAGCAGUGGGGAAUAUUGGACAAUGGGCGAAAGCCUGAUCCAGCCAUGCCGCGUGUGUGAAGAAGGUCUUCGGAUUGUAAAGCACUUUAAGUUGGGAGGAAGGGCAUUAACCUAAUACGUUAGUGUUUUGACGUUACCGACAGAAUAAGCACCGGCUAACUCUGUGCCAGCAGCCGCGGUAAUACAGAGGGUGCAAGCGUUAAUCGGAAUUACUGGGCGUAAAGCGCGCGUAGGUGGUUUGUUAAGUUGGAUGUGAAAUCCCCGGGCUCAACCUGGGAACUGCAUUCAAAACUGACUGACUAGAGUAUGGUAGAGGGUGGUGGAAUUUCCUGUGUAGCGGUGAAAUGCGUAGAUAUAGGAAGGAACACCAGUGGCGAAGGCGACCACCUGGACUAAUACUGACACUGAGGUGCGAAAGCGUGGGGAGCAAACAGGAUUAGAUACCCUGGUAGUCCACGCCGUAACGAUGUCAACUAGCCGUUGGAAGCCUUGAGCUUUUAGUGGCGCAGCUAACGCAUUAAGUUGACCGCCUGAGGAGUACGGCCGCAAGGUUAAAACUCAAAUGAAUUGACGGAAGGGCG
rnacentral:rRNA from 1 species